AUUGAACGCUGGCGGCAGGCCUAACACAUGCAAGUCGAACGAGUGGCGGACGGGUGAGUAAUGUCUUAGAACCUGCCUGACGGAGGGGGAUAAGUACUGGAAACCGUAGCUACUACUGCAUACCAUCGGUUGUGGCCAGAUGGGAUUAGCUAGGAGGGGGGGUAUCGGCUCACCUAGGCGGAGCUCCCUAGCUGGGCUGAGAGGAUGACCAGCCACACUGGAACUGAGACACGGUCCAGACUCCUACGGGAGGCAGCAGUGGGGAAUAUUGCACAAUGGGCGCAAGCCUGAUGCAGCCAUGCCGCGUGUAUGAAGAAGGCCUUCGGGUUGUAAAGUACUUUCAGCGGGGAGGCGUUACCCGCAGAAGAAGCACCGGCUAACUCCGUGCCAGCCGCCGCGGUAAUAC
rnacentral:rRNA from 1 species